rnacentral:rRNA from 1 species
AGUCACGCUGUAAACGAUGUCGAUUUGGAGGUUGUUCCCUUGAGGAGUGGCUUCCGGAGCUAACGCGUUAAAUCGACCGCUGGGGAGUACGGCCGCAAGGUUAAAACUCAAAUGAAUUGACGGGGGCCCGCACAGCGGUGGAGCAUGUGGUUUAAUUCGAUGCAACGCGAAGAACCUUACCUACUCUUGACAUCCAGAGAAUUUAGCAGAGAUGCUUUAGUGCCUUCGGGAACUCUGAGACAGGUGCUGCAUGGCUGUCGUCAGCUCGUGUUGUGAAAUGUUGGGUUAAGUCCCGCAACGAGCGCAACCCUUAUCCUUUGUUGCCAGCACAUUAUGGUGGGAACUCAAAGGAGACUGCCGGUGAUAAACCGGAGGAAGGUGGGGAUGACGUCAAGUCAUCAUGGCCCUUACGAGUAGGGCUACACACGUGCUACAAUGGCGUAUACAAAGAGAAGCGACCUCGCGAGAGCAAGCGGAACUCAUAAGGUACGUCGUAGUCCGGAUUGGAGUCUGCAACUCGACUCCAUGAAGUCGGAAUCGCUAGUAAUCGUAGAUCAGAAUGCUACGGUGAAUACGUUCCCGGGCCUUGUACACACCGCCCGUCACACCAUGGGAGUGGGUUGCAAAAGAAGUAGGUAGCUUAACCUUCGGGAGGGCGCUUACCACUUUGUGAUUCAUGACUGGGGUGAAGUCGUAACAAGGUAACCA